rnacentral:lncRNA from 1 species
GGUAAAACUUCUAUUAUCAUUGGCCAAUGUUACACAUUGCAUGGGCUAGCAAACAAUGGUAAAAACCAUCCCUAAAGUCAAAGCCAAUGUUGGUUAUUCCACUAGGUUAAACUGUCCUGCCAAAACUUAUGCAGGCAUCAUCCUUGCUUCCUUGGGCUUCAAAUAAAUUGAGGCUCCGAUGCCACGAAAUAUGCUAAAACAAGAUAACUAGAAGGGAAACAAAAGGCUAGCACCUAAGUUAGGAAGAACACAGUUGAAGAAACCAUGAGAAAGAAGGCAUCGAAUGGAUGCACUAAAGUUCAAGUGUUAAAACUAAAUAUGUGUUUCUGCUAAGUGGGAGGAUGAAGAAAAUAACCUAAAAUGUAGACACCAUUCUAAAAAAAAAACAACAUGGAGUCACCUACACAUAACCAUGUUGGUUAAAGACGGCACGACUGAGGAACCGAAAAUGGAAGGAUCUCCCUGGUAUUUAUAGUCAUCAUGAUCAACCUUCAAUGAAGCUGGAACCACAAAACUAUCAGUAGCAUCAGACUGCAGAAACUUCGGCGACAGUUUCCUAUGUAUGUCAUUGCUCUGUUGCUUCUGCUGAGAAGUGCCACUUCGAUUCCUCUUCCUUGAUGACUUCCACCUUAACUGUAAUGAUAAAACAUCCUUCACAAGAUCUGGAACUUCCUCAUUCUUUCUAAGUUUAUCCCUUUCAGAAGAACCCGAGUAAGCAUCAGCCUGCUUAGAUUGUAUUCCAUCUCCGAUAGAUGCUACAGUUGAUUUGCUGUCCUCCU